UUGUACUUUUCAAAUGUUCUACAGGGAUAAGGUUUUCUGGCUAAAAGGCUAUUAGGAAACCCGUAAACUAAGCAUGACUCAUGACAGCAUUGCCUUUGUCCGUGCUUUUCCUUCUCAUAUCUUGCCUGGCUCCGUCAAGAUUAGUAUUUGUGAGCUCUAUCAGUCCGGGCUCAGCUGGGGGAAAGAGAAACUAUGCCGGCUGAUUGUAGCAGGAACCAAAUCAGGGGCUUACAAAGUCAUUGGAAGGGUUGGAGGAGUGGGUUCUGAGUUGUGGCCCCCAGGAAUGAUCAGGAACACCUCCAGGAGACCUGUGAUCUGGACAUCAAUGGCCACACCCUUGUUCCCCGAAGGGGUGCCCGCAAUGCUGGAAUGCUGCUGCAAAAUACAGUUUUUCUUGACCUUGCUUGUCCCCACAGGACGCCACCCCAUCUCACCUGCUCCUCCCAGAUCUUGGGCCACAGCACCUAAUGGUCAGAUCCUAAUUCACAUCCAGAAAUGUAGGGGCAAAGGAGGGUGCGAGUGUACUUCUCCGUUUUCCAGCAUGUGAGUGUGAAAUGACUUUUCCCUGGGUGUGGAGUCUAUAAAUUUACCUCUGAAGCCCUGGAAACCAGAAGUGGUUGCCUGUGAUGAGUGCCUGCAUCUGACUCCAAGUGCUCUGUGUUUGGCCGCUGCUGAAGUGAAAUCCACUUUUUCUGCAGGAAGUGCGAAACUCCGGUGCGUUAUAGGAAGUAAGAGCUUCCGCGUAUUCUCUUGAGAAUAAUGAGCACUUCCUGGAGGAAACAAUAUAACUUAAUACAUUCAAUAAAGAACCAACUGCUUAAGAGCAAACUCAGAGGUAAGGAGCAUUUGAGAAGAUGCCUCACUUCACGAAUAAUUAAAAGCAAAUCAAAAGCAAGAGUGGUUCAUCAGCGCAAUAACAAGGAACAGGCUCCGGAGUGUCCACUCGCCUCCGGUACUUUCGCUGCGAGUGCCUUGGCCGUAGACAUCUUUGCUGCAAACGUUUUUUGUCACAUAACUGUUUGGCAGUUAGGCGAUUUUGCCAUACAAGAGAGCGAGCGGGGAGAGGAGUAGAGGAGGAGGACGAGGGACAAGCCAACUCUGCACUGAACGCGGAGCCCGACCCUGAGAUCACCGCUUUAGCUGAAACCAAGAGUCAGAUGCUUCACUGACUGAGCCACCCAGGUGCCCCUGAAAAGAAAUUUUAAUGCAAAAAAAAAAAGCGUGAUGCAGAAUCAGGAGAUGAAUCAACAGGUGAAUUAAAAAAAUGCAUACUGUAGUUCCCCCUUAUCUGGAGUUUCGCCUUCCAGAGUUUCGGUUCCCCCUCGGUUGGUUUCAUUUGCCCUUGUCAAUCAACACUGGCAAGAGCAGAUGAUUCUCCUCCUACGUCAUGACGUCAUCACAAGAGGAAAGGCUCUUUUGUGUUAUUAAUUCUAAAAAUUUUCGACUGAUCCCUAUUUUCUGGCUGUGAAAUUACAUUUCCACCAGUGAGAAUAAUAUUGCCUGUCUGGAUCUAGAUCACGAAAAGAUUUCAACCUAAAAUGGAGUCAAAGGAUAUGAAGUGGAGAAUCUCACCCAUGUGCCCCAGAAAAACAAGACUUAAGAACCAAGAGACUGAUUUCCAUUAAAUGCCUGACUUACAGAGGACAAGACUUAUCUCCUGAUUAAUGAACAUCUGCCAAGAAUCUCUCCCUAUCCUCCAGCCAAUGAACCCAUUGCUUGGACUCGGGUUGGACUUGCCCUCAAUGCACUCCUCUACUGUAAAUACAGCCCACUCCAAGCCCUCAGGGGACUCCCCUGUAGCUUGUGUUUCUUGAAUUGCAGUUCCUCUGCUAUUCCUAGAUAAACUCAAAUUUCUGGUAAUUUGAGCUUGCCUCAGUUUACCCCCUUAUUUAGGUUGACGUUCAAUGGUGUCAGAAGUGAGAUCGGAAAGAGACAACCCUCCAACCCCGGUGGGAAGAGGAGCCUCAGAAUCAAGCAAGGUGCCUGCACUGAGCCCCUUGAGCUCCACGCUUUCACGAGUGACAUUCUGCUUCCGGUUUUGUGAGUCUCCUCUUGAAUUUCAAGCUCCCUCCUUUUGGUUGAGCUCUCUGACUUUUUUUGGGAUUUGGAUAAGGACAGAUUGUCCUUCUGGUGAGUACUCUUUUGGUUUCUGAAUUUAGAAUGUGCUUGGUUUAUGAAUUAGAAUGUGCUUGGUCUCGAUUUAAACUUGUGAAUUUUCCUGAGAGCAAGACUAGAACCAAGGCCAAUGCGCACGGGUGCUGCUCGAGGACUUGCCACCUUUCUAGGAGAGACAACCAUCUCUGAAGCACAACAUUACUGUGUAAAGAUAAGGUGAUCACGGACCAGGAAGUUUCAUGUUAGGUCACUCGCCACCAACAAGAAAAUUCGGUGCAACAAGGGACACCUGGUGACAGGUCAGAUAAAUAGGGCAGAAGCCGUCUGUCAGGAGAAAGGUGUAUCCCGUGAAAGGCAGGCUGUCAAACAAAACUGACAUCUCAACCCCAAGCGUGUCUGCUAGGCUAUCUAAGAAUUUUUUUCCUUUGCUCUCAGGAAAACUCCAAAAAUGGGAUCCUAGGCAUCUAAAUGUUUUAAAGAUGGCCCCCUCCUUAGCAACGAUGGUUGAUUUUAUGUUAAAGAAAUUAUGGUCUUUCCUCAUGUGCUUGGACCAAUCUUACUGAAGACAACCUAGGACAAUGACCAUUAUGAGGAACAUUCCAAUUAGACAAGGUCAUUUAUUUAAACAAUGCACUCGGAAGCAAGGGUUCCCAAAUCAGAAGAACAGAAUGGGACACCUAUUUUAAUCGACAUGUAGAAGCCACCAAAAGCCUUCAAAUUUCGAAAUGGUUUCAUUGAAGUAUUCACUGCAAAAGGCAAAUGAAGAAUUAAAGGCAUAAAAGUGACUCAAACAAAAGACCAGGAGACUGAUGUCACUCCUACUGCCCCCUCUAUGCUUCUCUACGUAGGGACUAGUUCUCCUAGUCCUCCGUCUGGUUGGUCUUUCCACUCUGAAGAGACUACAUGACUGUAAACAAAAGUCCGAUGUUGACGGUCUCACGGAUGCCCCCAUGUCCAUCCUCAAAGGAGAGCACCCCCCUCAUGGGUCCCUCCCAGGGCUGAUGGGAUCUGAGGGAUUUUCUGGUUAACUGCCACCAGUGAUUUACCUGAACAGUCAAGGGAAAUCUGCAGUUAGUGGAAAAUCUUGCCAAUCUCUGGUAGCUACCAGAGCCACACUCUCUGCUUUAAACCCUACUUGCUUUGGAUCCUGUAGAUGGGAUCCCAGGAAAGCGGGCAGUGGCCCUCAGAGGGUGAGAAUUCUCACGGGGCCAGCUCUCCUGAAUGUCUGUCCGUACUGCUCAGGUGAGAGAGCAAGGCAAAAUUUCACAUUGUCUCUUCCCUUCCAAAUCCAAAUCCAUUGGUUAUGGAUCUUUUUUCUCCCCCGCCCGGAGUAAGUGUUACUUUCUUGUCUGUCUUGUUUUGUGUCCUGAGAACUUGGCUUGGCAACCAUUAGGUUGGGGGCCCCCAAAUAUGGCCAGACACAAAUGUGGGUUGCAACCCCUUUGCUGGCAGGGUCUAUUGAUGGCCCCCCGGGGAACUUACCAAAUAAGGCUUUCUUUCAUUUAGUUAUCUUUGGGAGUGGCUCUGAAUCUUUGGCAGGUAUCAUCUUUUGCAGUCCUUGCGGGAAUGCCUCUUGGGUCCAUGGCGUUAAUACUGCCAGGAAUAUUUACUGUUUGUCCUGGCUGAAACCUGACAAGAUAUUUGAGAGGAUUUUUUAAGUAGCUCUAUGGUCAGAAGUUGGUCGAAUUGCAGGCUGAUAAAAUCUUAUCUACAUGUAUGCAUAGAUCUAUUUCUAUCUCUGUAUCUAUCUGUGUAUCCAUCUACCUACCUGUUUACCUGUUAUGUAUAACUUUUAUUUCUAUCUCGGGUCUUAAUGCGUUGGUUGGAAAUGCCCAGAACAAUGUUCACCAAUUAUGAGAUAAUUGGCUUUAUCUUUUAUUCCUGUUUUCACCUGGAAGACCUCUGAUAUUUCACUAUCGUGUAAUGAUGUUUGCAGAUUUAAGAGAUUUAUGGGGUUUUUUGUUUAUUUUUGUUUUGUUUGUUUGUUUUAUUUUUUCCUGGACCUCAGGUGCAAGCAUGUGUUAUGUAUGUAUUUAUCCUGGGUGUGUCUCUCUCUCCCAAACUGACCCUACUGAUAUGUUGGAUGUGUAUCUUUUUAUAUGUAUUUCUACAAACCCACAUUGUUGUU